AACGCGAAGAACCUUACCAGGGCUUGACAUCCUACUAACGAAGCAGAGAUGCAUUAGGUGCCCUUCGGGGAAAGUAGAGACAGGUGGUGCAUGGUUGUCGUCAGCUCGUGUCGUGAGAUGUUGGGUUAAGUCCCGCAACGAGCGCAACCCUUAUCGUUAGUUGCUACGCAAGAGCACUCUAGCGAGACUGCCGUUGACAAAACGGAGGAAGGUGGGGACGACGUCAAAUCAUCAUGCCCUUUAUGUCCUGGGCUACACACGUACUACAAUGGCGGUUAACAGAGGGAGGCAAACCCGCGAGGGGGAGCGAAACCCUAAAAACCGUCUCAGUUCAGAUCGCAGGCUGAAACCCGCCUGCGUGAAGGUGGAAUUGCUAGUAAUCGCGGAUCAGCAUGCCGCGGUGAAUACGUUCCGGGUCUUGUACACACCG
rnacentral:rRNA from 1 species